rnacentral:rRNA from 1 species
UACGUAGGGUCCGAGCGUUGUCCGGAAUUACUGGGCGUAAAGCGCACGUAGGCGGAUAUUUAAGUCAGGGGUGAAAUCCUAGAGCUCAACUCUGGAACUGCCUUUGAUACUGGGUAUCUUGAGUAUGGAAGAGGUAAGUGGAAUUGCGAGUGUAGAGGUGAAAUUCGUAGAUAUUCGCAGGAACACCAGUGGCGAAGGCGGCUUACUGGUCCAUAACUGACGCUGAGGUGCGAAAGCGUGGGUAGCAAACAGG